rnacentral:rRNA from 1 species
GGCGAACGGGUGAGUAGCACGUGGGUGAUCUGCCCUGCACUUCGGGAUAAGCCUGGGAAACUGGGUCUAAUACCGGAUAGGAGCCAUUUUUAGUGUGAUGGUUGGAAAGUUUUUUCGGUGUAGGAUGAGCUCGCGGCCUAUCAGCUUGUUGGUGGGGUAAUGGCCUACCAAGGCGGCGACGGGUAGCCGGCCUGAGAGGGUGGACGGCCACAUUGGGACUGAGAUACGGCCCAG